rnacentral:rRNA from 1 species
UGGGGAAUUUUGGACAAUGGGCGAAAGCCUGAUCCAGCCAUGCCGCGUGUGUGAAGAAGGUCUUCGGAUUGUAAAGCACUUUAAGUUGGGAGGAAGGGUUGUAGAUUAAUACUCUGCAAUUUUGACGUUACCGACAGAAUAAGCACCGGCUAACUCUGUGCCAGCAGCCGCGGUAAUACAGAGGGUGCAAGCGUUAAUCGGAAUUACUGGGCGUAAAGCGCGCGUAGGUGGUUUGUUAAGUUGGAUGUGAAAUCCCCGGGCUCAACCUGGGAACUGCAUUCAAAACUGACAAGCUAGAGUAUGGUAGAGGGUGGUGGAAUUUCCUGUGUAGCGGUGAAAUGCGUAGAUAUAGGAAGGAACACCAGUGGCGAAGGCGACCACCUGGACUGAUACUGACACUGAGGUGCGAAAGCGUGGGGAGCAAACAGGAUUAGAUACCCCAGUAGUCCCUGAGCGGGCUGGCAAGGCGCAU